rnacentral:rRNA from 1 species
AUGGGAUUGUAUGAUCAGCCAAAAAGAUGUGGUGGUAUGGGCUUCCGAGAUUUACAAUUGUUCAAUCAGGCCCUUUUGGCUAAGCAAGCCUGGAGGUUAAUUGAAUAUCCUGAUAGCCUCUGCGCCCAAGUACUCAUGGCCAAAUAUUAUCCCAAUGGGGUGCUUAUAGACACGGUCUUCACAGGCAAUGCUUUGUCAACCUGGAAAGCAAUUGAGUAUGGACUCGAACUACUUAAGAAAGGAAUUGUAUGGCGCAUAGGAAAUGGAGCAGAAGUCCGGAUAUGGAGAGACCCAUGGAUCCCCCGUGGUCCUUCUUGUCGGCUCAUCACUUUGAGGGGUCGAUGUCACCUCAAAGGGGUUGCUGAACUGCUGCGUACUGAUGGAACUUGGAAUACAACACUCCUACAUCAAUAUUUCCACCAAGCUGAUAUUGAGGAGAUUGUGAAAAUUAAACGAUCACAGAGAUUGGAGACAGACUUCGUGGCUUGGUUCCCGGACAAAAAAGGCCACUUCUCUGUAAAGAGUGCGUACUCCCUUGGCUUAUAG